rnacentral:rRNA from 1 species
CGACGAGCAAUAGUGAAGGUCAGGCUGAAGACCUUACCCCGAUUAGGCUGAGAGGUGGUGCAUGGCCGUCGUCAGUUCGUACUGUGAAGCAUCCUGUUAAGUCAGGCAACGAGCGAGACCCACGUCCACAGUUGCCAGCAUACCCUCCGGGGUGAUGGGUACACUGUGGAGACCGCCGCUGCUAAAGCGGAGGAAGGAGUGGGCAACGGUAGGUCAGUAUGCCCCGAAUCUCCCGGGCUACACGCGGGCUACAAUGGUUGGUACAAUGGGCAUCUACCCCGAAAGGGGAAGGAAAUCUCUUAAAGCCAAUCGUAGUUCGGAUUGAGGGCUGCAACUCGCCCUCAUGAAGCUGGAAUCCGUAGUAAUCGCGUUUCAACAGAACGCGGUGAAUACGUCCCUGCUCCUU